CCUGCCCCGGCCGGGCGGGCGGGCGGCGACGUGGCGCCCGCAACAGGCGGCGUCUCCGUGCCGUGAGGGCAGCGUAGGCAGCUCCUGCGGCCUGAUCCGCCCUGCUGCUUCUAUGCGGUUUAUUUGCCUUGGAUUACCGAAGUUGAUAGAAAUUUUUGCCAUUGCAGGUUUAAUCUAAACCAGCUGUUAUAGAAAUGAAAUUAAAGAAAAAUGUGCUUUAUUACAUUAAAUCACCUGCAAGUUAUUGAUUUUUCUCUAAGAAACAAUUUAAUUUUAAUAAUUUCCUAUUUAAGCACAAAGUUUUAGGACAUGAAGAUGCACUGGGAGGAAGUAUUACAUCAAAGAUGUGCUUGCUACAGCCAGCGACAUUUCUUUACGUUAUGAGAAUUCACGUUGCCAUUAACACAAGUAUUUGUAUGAAGGCUUGCUGCGGCUUCGCAGCCAAAAUACAACAUCCACCCUGAGUAUUUCUUGGAGACACAGGACUGAAAUUUCCUGAAAGCGCAGCUAUGCAUCAGAUUUGGAAGCUGAGAUCUCAAGGCAAACCAUACUAGUGCAGAAGAGCAAGAACUGGAAGAGGAGAAGACAGAUUGAAACAGAAUAAAAUGAGGAACAGGAGGACUUGGCCUCAGUGGACCAGGAGACAACAUCAAAAAGUUGAGUGGGGAGUGCUGGAGAGGUAACAAGAGAAUUGUGAAGCAGGGCAAAUACCAUGGCAGAAAGAAAGAAAUGUUUUUCCUCGAACAAUGAAGUAGGAGCCAGAACUGGUUGAGUGAGAUGAAGAUGAGGAUCCCAGAGAGAAGGGAGAGAGGACUGAAGGUAGGUCAGGCAGGAACAAGCACACAGAGCAUCAGGCUUGUGGUUGGGAGAGGGGAGGAUCUUUGCUGCUUUCCAUGGUCUGGAGCUUCUCAGACUGACCUCUCUGUAGUUGUCAGUGCACAUAAUUACUGCUUUCCUCAAGAGACGGGUCUGUGCCAAUGCUAAGUUUCUAUGUUUGCAGAAGAAUUAUAGAGGUGUCAGUAUGAUGCCAUAGGAUAGAAUUUAAUUUUCAGAUAUUGUUCUUAAAUUGUUGCAAGAAAAGCAAAAAGAAGACAAAACCCCAAAAUUAAAAUAAAUACAUAAGUAAAUAAAUUGAGAUUUGUAGAAUCAAGCAUCUAAAUGAGAAGAUGCCAUAACGUUUGUAAGUGGUACUUCUGUUUUGUGAAACAGUGUGAUGGGUUCUUUGGCAAAAGUAAGGCAACAUGCAUUUUUCCAGCUAGUGGCAGUGCCAUAAUGUUAGUAACAAUCACAGCAUCAGAGAGUCAUUAAGGAUGGAAAAGACCCUUAAGAUCAUCAAGUCCAGCCAUCAACUUAUAAAUGUUCAAAAAUGUGUGGAUAUGGCACUUGAGGACAUGGUUUAAUAGUUCGCUCUGGGCAGUCUGUUCCAAUCCUUCACAACCCCUUCCAUGAAGACAUUUUUCCUAAUAUCCAGUGUAACACCCCCCCCCCCCCCCUCCACCCCUGGCAGAACUUGAAACCAUUUCCUCUCAUCCUGUUACUUGUUACCUGGGAGAAGAGACUGGCACCCACCUGGCUACGGCCUCCUUUCCCAGAUACUUGUAGAGAGCAGUAAGGUCUGCCUCCUUUUCCCCAGGUUAAACAAUGUCCUGCUCAAUUAUGCCCAUGUACAAGAAACAGAGAGGCAUUCUUAGUGACUGGCAGUAAAAUGCCAGGAUUUUUCCGCCACUUAGUCAUUUCCAGCAGGCCGGUUGUUUUCACCAGCACGCACAAAUGGCAGCAACAGUGGGAAACUUCAUCAGAAAACAGGCAGAAGUUUUACAAAAAGCUGGCUGUGGAGUCACUUCCUUUGCCAAUUCAGCCACGCCUGGUGCUGACACACUUUCCCCAGAGACUGUAGCAAAGUCAGGUCUCUACUGGAAAACGAGUGAAUGACAGCAUCACAGGGCACUGAAAUGUAGCAGCACACUGAGGGAAGAGUAAAUAAAACAUGUUGUUUAGGAUAUUUCAUGUUUUAACAUGUUUUGAAGACUGGUGGUUGUUUUAGAAUAUAAGUAUUUUUGUGGAGGAUUCCACCACAUACCUCUUCAGUUCAUGGGUAAGAGCUGCUAGUAGACAUCUUAAGUCUCUAUGACAUUAUCCAGCACAAUCAAGAAAGAGAACGCUCCAGCGACUACAAAAUUUAACUAAAAUAGCAAGCAGAAAGAAGUUAUGUCUUUCGUGGUGAUGGUGCAGGCAAAAAAAAAGCCAGCCAAAAAUAGGAGAAAGCCCUUUACAAAUCCCAAAGCCUAAGUUAAAAAAAACAACCUGAAGAGAAUUGUUAGGAGAGUAUGCAAAAGCAUGCAUAUAACAGCUAUUUUCAGUGGCAGUUGGGCAUUCACAGCGCUUUUGACAGUAAUACCAGGUUCUUAUUUUUUGUCCUUUAUAGCCCAGAGUAUGUUCAGUAAGCAGUCUUUUUUUACAAAUAAACAGUCUGUUGAACUAUGACUAGGACACCAUUUUUUGUCAGUUUUGAAAAUGCUCACCAGUAUCAAACAGAUGGCUGUAGUUUUGGUGCUUUCGCUUGGGGCCUGCAGCAGAAUUUUGUGUUCUUUCUGAAAAUACUGCCACGCAUAGAAAAGCAAUUUUUGGGUUCAAGUCAGUGGGAAAUUAUAGUAGUGCAACCUAGGGUCACUCAGCAUUUGAAAGGCAGCUAACUGCUUUGCCACACAACUUCUGCUGUCAUUUUCAGCACACAUAUGUGCAUGCAUGCUGUAAAUCCUGGGAAGUAUGAUAAUCUCUCUGUUUAGCUACAGGGUAGGCAAAACUCUUUCAGUGAAGAGGGUUUUGCUCAAUUUAUAGACAGGCAUCAAGUCAAUGAAAACUACCAGCUGAUUUUUAUAAUGCAUCCAAGAUAGUUUUGCCUCAAAGCAGGUAGUUGUUUUGAAAUUUUGUUUUAUUUCAAGAAUAUGUUUUAAAUUUUUGCUAUUUUUAAACCUGAAAAAUCAUGGGGAAAUAAAAUAAUUUUCUCUUUUAUCUUCUUAUUUUUCUUUUUCCCCCCCCUGCCAGUUAAUAAAAAUAUCAGUUAUCCAUAGAGUUCUAAUCCCUUGUGACAUUUUUAGGGUGCCUUAAUUUCUGAGAAAUGAUAAAACAAACCUAAGGGUUUACUUAGAAAUUUGAUCCUUCAGUUUGGCUUUUUGAGUUUGCAGCUCUUUAUUUGUAUAUGUUGCUGACCACUACUGAAAAGAAUAGUCUUAGUCUGAUGCAGCCAGUUGGGAAAAUUCCUUGCUUUUUUACUUAUGUGGAAAUAUGUAAAGCUUUUAACAAAAGUCAAAUAAUGCCAUUUUAGUUCUGUCUCACUUUUAUGCCAGACUGAGAAAAGGGUGCUGGGUUUAGGACUGUGCUUUGUUAGGAAAUUUGCAGAGAUUGUGUGGGAUACCACCCAAACAGGUGAUUUUAUUUUAAUGUGCAGGCUUGGGAAAAUAGUUUGUGUAAGUGAACAAGCAAAUAAAUUUCGGACAAGGAGUAAUUUGCUUUAUUAAUGAUUUUCUACCCUCCCCUUAUGAAUUGUCAUUGCAUUGACUCAUUAAAGUCACUCCGGUUGCAGUGUUUGCUGGUUUCUCUGUAUCUUGAUGAUCUGAUUAAUUCCAUUUUGUUACUCUAACUGUAUUCUUAUUCUGACAAGGAACUCAAAUUUAUUUGCUUAUUUGAUUUACUAAUUCAGUUUUCCAGGAAAACCUGUGUAAUUAAUUUUUUUUUCUUUAGGGUUUGAAUAAGUUUCCAUUGGGUCAAACAUAAAUUUGUUGAGUGUUAAAAGUUUCUGAAUUGAAUCACAAUGUAAUUGUAAGACGCAAAUGCUCUUUUUUCUUAGUGUUUUAUUAGAUUUCCUUGGACAUAUUUCUGAUAAAAAAGUAUGCUACGGGUCUUUCUCACGAGAAAGGUAGAAUUAUGAUGUUUUCAAAAAGAAAUGUUGCAAUGUUAUAUUGCCACUCCUAUAUUAUAUUGUCAUGAAAUUCAGACUCCUAAGCUGUUAUCAAAUAUUAAAUCAGCAUGAAAAGCAAUUUCUCAGUAUGAUGGAUUACUACUGAGAUAUGAAUCAAAUUCAGGAGGCUUGUACCAAAUUAAGAAAUUGUUCUGUAUGCCUUUUUCACAAAAGCAGUCUGUUACUCUGUUAAUAUCUAUUGUAGCUAUGACUGCUUUUUACAUUUGCUCCUCCCCACUCUAUAAUAUUAUUUUAGCUGUUAAGUUUUAGAUAUGGUGCAUGCUAGAGUGACAUAAUUUGUUGUAGGUUUCUUUUCUUUCAAGAACAGGUUGGUGUUUGCCAUACAGCUGAAGUAAAAAUUUAUAUUGAGUUCAUAUGAGAAUUCUGCCUUUAAGGAAAUCCAAAUGGAAACUGCUAUCACAAUACAUCCUCACAUUAAGCUAAAAUUUAUUGCUUUUUAUUAAAUGAAAAUAAAAUUAUAUAAAAAUGGCUUUACCACUAUAUACUAAAAGGAAAAUAAAGAGAAUAAAUGUGUGUGAGUUUCCAGA